AAAUCCUUAGCAUUCCUGGUAUUUCAAGCUGGAUUUUCAACAUUUCUCCCUCUCUCUCUUUCUGAUUAAUCUCUGUGUACAUCUGUUUCUGCAUUUAAGGGAGAAUAAUUCCUCUCCCUGACCUUGCAAAGAUGAUGUGACACACACGCGCGCGCACACACACACACACACACACACACACACACAUUGUAAUAUUAAUUAUGUCUCAGUAACACAGAUUUGCAUAUACAAGAAAAACAAAAUCUCUGACAUGCCCAGUUUAGGGUACAUAUGCAUAAUUUUUUUACUAAGUGGAUUGUUCACAAUUUUUGCUUUUAUAUCACAAAUGUUUUUAAUAGAGGUUUUUGGGUUUUUUUCUAUUACAGAAAGUAGUGUAUUUUUUCGCUUUUAUGAGUAACUUUCUACAGCUUUUAUGAUGCCCCCCUGGUCAGAAGCACACGCAGCUGAUAGCAGCAAUCAGUGCACCAACAAAUAACCAUGAUUCACAGCAUCUUUCAUGUUAGGGCUCACAGAUAAAUUCCCAGCACUUAGUAGAAAAUGCUUGUAAAAGGCAACUUCAUCAUUUCAGGACCAGGUAUAUUUGUAUCUGAAGAGAAAACAGGGCACAAGAUGAGUAACUGCUCAUCUUUCUCUGAUGCCUCUCAAGGUAUGAGCACAAGUGAAAUUGGCUUUUUGUUUGCAGAAGGUUUUUGCAAACUCUCUGAUUUGUGAGCAGAGUAUACAGGGUAGCAAGGACAGAGCAAUGGAAGAAAAUGGAAUAAAGAAAUAUUCCUUUCAGAUUUGCUGAAUCAUAGCUGAGGAUAAUGCAGUGAUAGCACCAAAAAAGUAUUCAGUGUUAAAAUGGCAUCACUGUGAAUACUCUUUUCCUAUCCGAAAUAGCUGCAUUUACUGGCCAAACCACUUCUACAAAGGAUGAAGUAUUGCUAUUUGAGGUGAGGACCAACACAAGAUGCUGUGGAAGAGUGGACCAGUGGGAACAAGCCAUAUUCCCUUAUACAUCUGGAAUGGCAGCUUCCUACUUGUUGAGGAUGGACAGCAGAGUAAAUAUAUAACAGAAUGCUGGCUUUUUAUCUCUGGAAAAACCACAGCUUUGGUGUAUCUUCACUUGUUCAGCCUGACUUCUCUGCCUGGGGGAGACACCUUCUCUUAUGACUUGGCACGGUGUGAGCCCAGCAGAUGGACAGAAGCAGCCAAAAGCCAGUGCUCUAUGUACAUUUAGGGUGUUUGCCAACAGCAGGAUUCUCAAACACGAAUUUUUAACCAGCUGUCCAUCCUAAAAUGAUAACUUUAUCUUUAAACUGAUACAACACUACUAAUUCAGCUUUGGGAUAUUUCUACUUCAAAAAUUAGUAACUGCCAAAGUGUGCAAGGAAAGCUUUCAUUUUGGCUUCGUUUGGGUUUCAUAUGUGUUUUUAUUCUGUGGGGCAUAUGAGCUGCAACAUGGAAAUAUACAUAAGACUUGAGUCUUUGGACACUGUGUCCUGGACAUUUUCUCCUGUUUGAUCCUGUGCAAAUAUCCCUUACUAAACACAGCUGAAACUGCUGGGACAUGUUUGGAAGCCAGGCCAAGUUGAAUGGUGUCAUUUCACCACAAAUAGACAUAUUCAUGCAGCAGACAAAGGCAGUUUAAAUUUCACUGUCCACCGAGGACAUCAACCCCUCCUAACUGUCAUAUUCAACAGGAUCAAGGGGGAUAAAAUGUUAGGAUUAUUCCCAAUUUCCUGAAGAUACUACAAAAAUCUAGCUGCUCCUCCCAAAGUCUUUUUGUCUUUUGAGUCAAAGUAUUGUGUACUGAGCCUGUUUGGUUCUGUCAAGAAGAGCAGGAGUUUUUUAUUCUCUUUAAACAUCUGUGAUAAAUAUUUGAUCUGUGACAUUCUGGUUCUGGGGAAUAUCACCAACAGGGAUGCUAAAAAAAAUAUUUUGAUUGUAAGCAGAGUGCUGCUAAGCAUUUUUGGAAGAAGAGAUGCUUUUCAAAGAAGCACAGUUUCCACAGAAGGUAAUAAUUUAUGUGAUCAGAGGAGCUGUGACUUUUGUGCCCUGUAUUCUCAUCUUCUUGCUUCCAGUGCUUGGUGACACUUGUCCUGUCACCUACUCUCUUCCUACUCUGAUAUAAUCACUUAUGAAAUAUUGCAAUAAUUUUAAUUACCAUUUAAAGGAACUUGUUGAGAAUUAACUCUCAUUUACACAUGCUUUGGGGUUCUAGCUGGAAAAUGCUAGCAGAAUGGUGUACAGUGUUUGAUGAGAGUGAAUUCAUAUUUCUGUUUUCAUGGAAUGUUUGUCAUAACAGUCUAUCCACGAGGACUACUGAGAAGUAUAUUUUAUACCUGUAAUAUAAAUCAUGACUGGGUAAUACUAAGCCUACAGCACAGAAUAUUUCAAUAAAAAUUAAGAACAUUUGAUAACCUGGA
rnacentral:lncRNA from 1 species